rnacentral:sRNA from 1 species
GAGGAAGUAAAAGUCGUAACAAGGUUUCCGUAGGUGAACCUGCGGAAGGAUCAUUACCAGAAGUGUCCGCUUAACAGCAACCUUCCCACCCUCUGUAUAUCUCUACUUUGUUGCUUUGGCGGGCCGCCGCAAGGCUCCUGGCCGUUCCGGCUGGGGCGUGCCCGCCAGAGGACCCUCAAACCCUGAAUGUCAGUGUCGUCUGAGUACUAUAUCUAAUAGUUAAAACUUUCAACAACGGAUCUCUUGGUUCUGGCAUCGAUGAAGAACGCAGCGAAAUGCGAUAAGUAAUGUGAAUUGCAGAAUUCAGUGAAUCAUCGAAUCUUUGAACGCACAUUGCGCCCCUUGGUAUUCCGGGGGGCAUGCCUGUUCGAGCGUCAUUUCAACCAUCCAGCUCUGCUGGGUCUUGGGCCCUGCCGGCGACGGCAGGCCUUAAAAACAGUGGCGGUGCCCGAAGGCCCUGAACGUAGUACAUCUCUCGUUACAGGCGCUGGAGGAACACCUGUCAGCAACCCCAACUCACUUAGGUUGACCUCGGAUCAGGUAGGGAUACCCGCUGAACUUAAGCAUAUCA